GCUGGCAGUUCUCCGAGGUUUGUCAUUAGAAUGUGAGAAGAGCCGCACAGAUAUUGCACAGGCUGUUCGAAGAAGUUUGAUUUACUUUGAGAGCUACUGCUCCAUUUCAGGGUGGCAGAAAAAUGAGAUUUCAACAAUUCUUUUUUGUAUUUUUAAUUUUUAUGAUGAGUCUUCUUCUUAUCAACGGACAGAGACCAGCUAAUUUGGCAAUGAGAAGAAAACUACACAGACUCAGCUGCCAUCAGAGGAGAUGUAUGCCUCUCCAUUCACGAGUGCCCUUCCCCUGAGGUAUUUCUGAUGGAAAAUAGCUUUCCUAAAUUUAGGCAACAUUCCAGAUUGAAAAUAGAUCUUCUUUUACUGACUUCACCUGGUCUGCCAGAAGAAGAGGAUUGGAGGAAAAAUAACUACCCACACUAUAGUGUGCUUGCUUAGAAGUUCCUAUAUGAAAAGGGAUCCUUUGAAAGCACCUGGGAUGUCUUACUAGCUUCACAAGAUUCUCUUCUGUUUUCUUUUCAAGGGAAAAUAACAGGAAUUCAAAAGCAAUUACAGUCUGAAACACAGUUAUUUCCUGCACAAAAAAAUCUCUCAUCUUUUCUGCACAUUAUAAUUCUUACAUGGGUUAGCAAGAAAAAUACUUUAUAAUGUCUUUGGACUUUCUAAUAUCAAAAAGUGCAAGAAUAUAAAAUUUAGCUUUCAUAUUCCUAUAAUUCUUCAAAAAUAUUAAAUAAUUUUGUAUA